rnacentral:rRNA from 1 species
UUUCUCCUACGGGAGGCAGCAGUAGGGAAUCUUCCACAAUGGGCGCAAGUCUGAUGGAGCAACGCCGCGUGAGUGAAGAAGGGUUUCGGCUCGUAAAGCUCUGUUGUUAAAGAAGAACGUGGGUGAGAGUAACUGUUCACCCAGUGACGGUAUUUAACCACAAAGGCGCGGCAAACUACGUGCCAGCGCCCCGGUAAUAAAA